rnacentral:ncRNA from 1 species
UAAAAGUUUUAUUUUAGCUUAAAAAUUUAUUAUUAAUUUAUUUUAUAUGUAAAUUUUUGUGUGAUUAAAUAAUUAUUUUAAAAAUGUUUAUUUUUUAUUUAAUUGCAAUAAUUAAUAUUAUUUUUUAAAGAAAUUUAGAAAUAGUGAUAUUAAUUAAUAUUGGUUAAAUUUGUGCCAGCUGCCGCGGUUAUACAAAUAAUAUAAAUAAAUUUUAUUAAUUUUAGUUAAAUUAUUUAUUUGUAAAAAUAAAAAUAAUUUUUUAGGUGAAAUUUUAAAUUAUUUUAUAUUUUAAAUUUAGUAUAAUUGAAGCUUAGAAAUUUUUUAAUUAAACUAGGAUUAGAUACCCUAUUAUUAAAAAAAAGAAAAUAUAAUUAAAGUAGUAUUAGUUAUGGUCUUGAAAUUUAAAAAAUUUGGCGGUAUUUUAGUCUAUUCAGAGGAAUCUGUUCUGUAAUUGAUAAUCCACAUUGGACCUUACUUAAAUUUGUUUUUCAAUUUAUAUACCGUCGUUAUAUGAAUAUUUUAUAAGAAUAAUAAUUUUCAAUAAUUUAAAUUAAAAUAUAUAUCAGAUCAAGGUGUAGUUUAUGUUUAAGUAGAAAUGGAUUACAAUAAAUGAAUUUUUGGAUAAAGAUAUGAAAUAAUUUUUUUAAAUUGGAUUUGAUUGUAAAAUUAUAAAGAUUAAUAAUUUGAUUUUAGCUCUAAAAUAUGUACACAUCGCCCGUCGCUCUUAUUAUUAAGAUAAGAUAAGUCGUAACAUAGUAGAUGUACCGGAAGGUGUAUCUAGAAUGAC